ACUUUGUCCUUGGGGCUACGCUCUCGCCUGGGAGGGGAGACACAAGGCAUCGACAGCUAGGUCCAAUGAAGCGUGGGGACUCAUCUUCUGCAAGCGAGCGUACACAUAUAAAAGGGACGCGCAUCCGACAUGCGUUCCAGAUUCGAUCUGAGCGUGUGCUAUUGUUGUCGCGAUAGGCAAGCAAGCAGCGGCCACUCCCCACACCAGGCUUGGGGCAUCCAUCAUGGUCUCUCACGGGCACGGAAGGUCCUGCGCGCUCGUUUUGCUGCUGACGCUGCUCGCCGCAGUGCUCGUCACUGAAGUUCGCGCCAGGAGCGCGCUGCAGCGCCAAGACCAGCCAGGCGGCGGCUUGAUCGACACUCGCUUCUGGCAGGGAGUCCUCAACAAAACGCUGGAGGGCAACGUGGAGCAGGCCUUCAACUUGGUCUUCGGCCGAAUGUCCGACGACAUCUCUGGCGCCAUGAAUCGGUUCACCAGUUUUCUCGACGGCGUCAGGCGGAACGUCACGUCGGUGAUACAGGAUGGCGUGAGGACAAGGCCCACAGCUACCUGAGCGACCGUGCCGCCGAUGAGUGCAAGACAACGGCCCGCUCCAAGACAUUUAUUUACCAUUACAUUUACCCUGAGUCAACACUACCUUACAGCAUCGCCAACACAACCCUCCCUAAGCCUGAAAGCAUCCAUAUAUCACCACGUCGUCGUUACGAAUCCACACUGCUCAGCUCCGACCUGGACGAGCACUUCUGGGACUCCGGGCCGACUAACUGCCGUUGCGUACCCCCGCAACUGAAGAAACCGCCAGCCAGUGCUUUCAAAUAAAUGUUUUGACCAUUCA